rnacentral:rRNA from 1 species
CCGGCGCACGGGUGAGUAACACGUAUGCAACCUGGCCGUCACAGGUGGAUAACCGGAAGAAAUUCCGACUAAUACAGCAUAACACUCCUGAGGGACAUCCUUCGGGAGUCAAAGGAGGCAACUCCGGUGACGGAUGGGCAUGCGGCGCAUUAGGUAGUUGGUAGGGUAACGGCCUACCAAGCCGACGAUGCGUAGGGGUUCUGAGAGGAAGGUCCCCCACAUUGGAACUGAGACACGGUCCAAACUCCUACGGAAGGCAGCAG